rnacentral:snoRNA from 1 species
UUUAGUGAUGAUUUUUUUACAUAUUCACACUGUACGAGAAGUUUCUGCUUCACUGACUACAUAAACAAAAAACUGAUUUAAUGACUCUGAAA